GCCGGAGUAGCUCAGCCGGUAGAGCAGUGCUUUCGUAAAGCAAAGGUCGAGGGUUCGAGUCCCUCCUCCGGCU
rnacentral:tRNA from 1 species